UCAUUAACUACAAACAACAGUUAUGUUAGGAUUUCACACUUACCUCGGGCUGUAAUCCAAUCACCAUUCUCGAUUUUGGCUAAUUCUGUUGGAGAAGAUGAAACCAUUCUUCCCAAAAUACCCCUCUUCGACUAUACUCCUCUGCCUUACACCGGUCUUGUCCCUCCGCCGAUGAAAUCAUCAAGAAAUGAAAAGCUUUCCUUAGCCCCUCCAUCUUCCAUUUUUACGAUGACCCAUUAUAUUUGAUUGAUGGGAAAAUGCAGUAUUUGUUUGAUGAAAAGGUAGGAGAUAUUUGGACGCUUUUGGAGGAAUAGCCACUGUGUGUUGUGGGCACUGCCAUACUGUAGUAGUGGAUGCAAUUGUUAACUAAACAAAACGCCUUUAGCAUUCAGCCAUUUUGUACCUAAGUCAUGCUAUUGUGGAUUUUCCUGAUGCUCUUGCAUCAAAUCUCUCCGGGGAUCUCAAGGUUGUCACGAUGUUAUUUCAAUUAGGAACAUAUAUCAUGGCAAUGCAGCAAGGACAAUGGAAGCCACGGCCCAAAGUAGCUACAAAUUUAAUGUCGUUCAUAUCUCUCCUACAUAGGAAUCUGUUUCAGUGUUGUUAUAAGUCGGAGACUUUAUGGUGCCUAUACUGAAGGAGUGUUCAGGUUGUACUAUGUGCACUUAGUACAGAUCAUCCACAUGAUAUGGUUACAACAUAAAUGAUAUAACAACUUUAUAAUAAUCAAUAAGUUUUGACAAACUAGUUGUGGAUUUCUUGUCUUUAUGACAAUGUAUGUUCUUAUGCGAAUUGGACUACUGAGAGUUGCAUAUUGCGGCUUCUGGACGAAAAAAAAAGCCCUAACACAGGAAUUAUUAUUUAGAAAGUUGGAUGAUAAUCAUAAUUUAGAAAAAUUAUUAUUUUCAGAAACCAAGAUUUGGCUUCUUACUUUCUUCUUAUGAAAGACUUUUUGAGUGUUGUAAUUGGAAAUUGUUUCUAUUUGUAUUUGAUUCCAUUUUUAUCCUCUGUUAACGAUAGACUGGAGUUCACUGUGCUCAAAACCUUGACCAGUAUAGAGGCAUCUUUGGUUCAGAUGGAUUG